AGCGGCAAAAGCUCAAAUUUGAAAUCUAGCACCUUCGGUGUUCGAGUUGUAAUUUGAAGAUGGUAACCUUGGGUUUGGCUCUUGUCUAUGUUCCUUGGAACAGGACGUCAUAGAGGGUGAGAAUCCCGUCUGAUGAGAUGCCCAUUCCUAUGUAAGGUGCUAUCGAAGAGUCGAGUUGUUUGGGAAUGCAGCUCUAAGUGGGUGGUAAAUUCCAUCUAAAGCUAAAUAUUGGCGAGAGACCGAUAGCGAACAAGUACAGUGAUGGAAAGAUGAAAAGAACUUUGAAAAGAGAGUGAAAAAGUACGUGAAAUUGUUGAAAGGGAAGGGCAUUAGAUCAGACUUGGUGUUUUACGAUUAUCUUCUCUUCUUGAGUUGUGCACUCGUAUUUCACUGGGCCAGCAUCGAUUCGGAUGGCAAGAUAAUGGCAGUUGAAUGUGGCUUCACUUCGGUGGAGUGUUAUAGCUUCUGCUGAUAUUGCCUGUCUGGAUCGAGGGCUGCGUCUUUUGACUAGGAUGCUGGCGUAAUGAUCUAAUGCCGCCCGUCUUG
rnacentral:rRNA from 1 species